rnacentral:piRNA from 1 species
UGUGUGUGUGUGUACAUGUCAAGUUGGCUC